rnacentral:rRNA from 1 species
UACGUAGGGUGCGAGCGUUAAUCGGAAUUACUGGGCGUAAAGCGUGCGCAGGCGGUUUUGUAAGUCAGAUGUGAAAUCCCCGGGCUUAACCUGGGAAUGGCAUUUGGGACUGCAAGGCUUGAGUGCGGCAGAGGAGACUGGAAUUCCUGGUGUAGCAGUGAAAUGCGUAGAUAUCAGGAGGAACACCGAUGGCGAAGGCAGGUCUCUGGGCUGACACUGACGCUCAUGCACGGAAGCGUGGGGAGCAAACAGG